CGACGACGUUUGACUAAAAUUCGGCACGAGCGACGCGGUAUUGAAUACUCUUGUUAUGAAAUAACACUGGGAAGAAAAACUGAACUCCCUCUCUCUUUCUGUCAUUCUCCAAGAACAAAAAAAUUUCUAUUCGCUCUUCUCUUGGAAAUCGAGAAGAGUGAAUUGGAGUGAGAGAAGAUGGGGUUGUCGUUCACGAAGCUGUUCAGCAGGUUGUUUGCGAAGAAGGAAAUGAGGAUUCUGAUGGUAGGUCUCGAUGCUGCUGGUAAGACAACCAUCUUGUACAAGCUCAAGCUUGGAGAAAUCGUCACCACUAUCCCCACCAUAGGAUUUAAUGUUGAGACUGUGGAGUACAAGAACAUCAGCUUCACUGUUUGGGAUGUUGGUGGUCAGGACAAGAUUCGUCCACUAUGGAGGCAUUAUUUCCAGAACACUCAGGGUCUCAUUUUUGUGGUUGAUAGCAAUGAUAGAGACCGAGUGGUUGAGGCAAGGGAUGAGUUGCACAGGAUGCUGAAUGAGGAGUAUUUAUGUUUUCCUUAUUUCAAAUGCCUAAAAGAGAAAACACACAAAAAAGAAAAGGAAUGAAAGGUGUUUUACUUAUUAUUUAUGCAUUGAUUUGGGAUUUUUUUAAUUAUCAUUUUUUACCUUAAAAGAAGCUCUGUAGAUUUGAUGGAUGUAAUUCGAGUGCUCUGUUGCAAUACUGACUUAUUGACCUUAAAUUGCUUGUUGUUAUGACUCAACGACCUUCCGUUGUGCUAAAAUAUACCGGCCCUGUUGCUUUUCUAGUGCAAUAUAACAGAAGCUAGCCCUGCAGCUUUCUGUGCAAUAAUAUAAAAUAAAAAAUCUGUCCUACAAUCCCUACAUUCUAGAUGUUCAAUCCUAGAGGUGAAGGAGAGGGUGUUGAGAUCUGACAUCAACUAUAGAUGUGAAGUAGAGCUUAUAAAAUGUUGAGCAAGGCCAUAUGAGUUAGUUUUUGGGUUGAGACCCAACCCAAAUUGAAAAUAAUGAUGAACUUAGAGAUGCUGUUUUGCUUGUUUUUGCCAACAAGCAAGAUCUUCCUAAUGCAAUGAAUGCUGCAGAAAUAA